rnacentral:rRNA from 1 species
ACCCUGUGUGCUGUUUGGUGCCCCGGUAUGGUACGACACCGCCGGGCAAGUAGCUGCCAAGAGGCGACUAGCCUCCUGCCAGAGGCUGAUCCUGCUUGGAUGCCUUUCGGCUUGCCGAACAGUGUCCACCGUGGCACUGCAGGUUCUUGGUGGAGCCCCCCCGCUUGACUUGGCUGCUAAGCAAUUAGCGGUCAAUUACAAGCUAAAACGUGGAUACCCGCUGGAGGAGAACGACUGGCUCUACGGCGAGGACAUCGCUUGUCUAAGCUGGGAGCAGAGAAAGACUCGCUUGGAGGAGUGCAUGCUGCGGAGUUGGCAGAACAGAUGGGACGACGACAGCGAACCAGGACGGGUGACGCACAGGUUCGUCCCAGAUGUCACUCUCGUUUAUCGGGAUCCAAAUUUUGGUUUCUCGAUGAAGGCGUCUUUCCUGAUUACUGGGCACGGGUCGUUUAAUGCAUUUUUGCACGGGAGAGCCCUCAGCGAUACCACAGCUUGCGCAUGUGGCGAUCCAUAUGAGGACUGGAUGCACGUAUUGCGCGCUUGCCCCCUGUAUGCAGAUUUGCGAGACCUCGAUGGACUUGGAGUGCAGCGCGUUGGCGAAAACUGGAUGUUCGAAGGAAUCCUGGAGGAUCGAGAGAGGACCCAACGGCUGGCAGCGUUCGCUGAGGAAGCGUUCCUCAGGAGGAGGGGCCUUUAGCCCAACACCUUUCGCAGCGCGUUGGCGAAAACUGGAUGUUCGAAGGAAUCCUGGAGGAUCGAGAGAGGACCCAACGGCUGGCAGCGUUCGCUGAGGAAGCGUUCCGCAGGAGGAGGGGCCUUUAGCCCAACACCUUUCGCCGUGUGGUUAGCGGGCGAGAAUACUACCACAGUCCGCUGUUGCUUGUCGUAGGAGGCGACUAAUACGGCUAUAGGUCGCUCCGCCCGUGCUUGUCGGAGCCAAAGGAGUGAGGCCGACCGAGCCUCUAAUUUCGGUACCACGGGUUGAGCAGCUCUCCAAGGUUGCUCAUUGAGGUAGGCCCCCUAGUGGGAGUAUCGUGGUGGCUGUGGUUGGUACCCAUAUCGCGGGUAGAGCCUUCGUGCUCGACGUUUGAGUUACGGCGAUGGUUUACGCAAAACUCGGGUGCUGUGACCCUUAGAUCAGUAGAGAUUUUAGGUAAAUCGCGCUCCUCAGCAAGGGGGAGUGCUUGCCCGGCAAGCAAGCACUCGAAUCUGCCACCGGGGUGGUCGCUAUGUACAUAGCUAUAGCUUCUGGACCGGGACGUUUGUCUGGCGUAUCCAGACUAAUGCAUCUUUGGAUGUCGUGGUUGUAAUCCCUUCAAUGUGGAACACGCCACGUAAAACAAGUUCGGAGGGAUCCGAAAUCACACACUGUCCCUAUCUACUAUCUAGCGAAACCACAGCCAAGGGAACGGGCUUGAAAUAAUUAGCGGGGAAAGAAGACCCUUUUGAGCUUGACUCUAAUCUGGCAGUGUAAGGAGACAUAAGAGGUGUAGAAUAAGUGGGAGAUAUUAGACCUCGGUUUGGUACCACUACUCUUAUUGUUUCCUUACUUACUUGAUUAAAUGGAACGUGUAUCAUUUCCUAGCCAUUAUACGGAUAUAUUUAUUAUAUCUUAUGGUAUUGGGUUUUGAUGCAAGCUUCUUGAUCAAAGUAUCACGAGUUUGUUAUAUAAUCGCAAACAAAUUCUUUAAUAAAACGAUGCAUUUAUGUAUUUUUGAUUUGAAAAUUUGGUAUAACUCCAAUUACUCAGGUAUGAUCCAAUUCAAGGACAUUGCCAGGUAGGGAGUUUGACUGGGGCGGUACAUCUCUCAAAUAAUAACGGAGGUGUCCCAAGGCCAGCUCAGUGCGGACAGAAACCACACAUAGAGCAAAAGGGCAAAUGCUGACUUGAUCUCGGUGUUCAGUACACACAGGGACAGCAAAAGCUCGGCCUAUCGAUCCUUUUGGUUUAAAGAGUUUUUAACAAGAGGUGUCAGAAAAGUUACCAUAGGGAUAACUGGCUUGUGGCGGCGUUUCAUUUGAUGUCGGCUCUUCCUAUCAUUGUGAAGCAAAAUUCACCAAGCGUUGGAUUGUUCACCCAUGCAAGGGAACGUGAGUUGGGUUUAGACCGUCGUUAGACAGGUUAGUUUUACCCUACUAAUGACAAAACGUUGUUGCGACAGCAUUCCUGCGUAGUACGAGAGGAACCGCAGGUACAGACCAAUGGCACAAUACUUGUUCGAGCGAACAGUGGUAUGACGCUACGUCCGUUGGAUUAUGCCUGAACGCCUCUAAGGUCGUAUCCGUGCUGGACUG